CCGUAGCCCAAGAGAUCGGGAUAACACCUGGAAACAGAUGCUAAUACCGGAUAACAACAGAUGAUGCCUAUCAACUGUUUAAAAGAUGGUUCUGCUAUCACUCUUGGAUGGACCUGCGGUGCAUUAGCUAGUUGGUAGGGUAACGGCCUACCAAGGCGAUGAUGCAUAGCCGAGUUGAGAGACUGAUCGGCCACAUUGGGACUGAGACACGUCCCAAACUCCUACGGGAGGCAGCAGUC
rnacentral:rRNA from 1 species